rnacentral:lncRNA from 1 species
CAGACUGGGGCCGCCGGGAGAACGAAAAAGUGAGAAAGAGGAGCGGAGUCAGGGGGAAAAAAAAGAAAAGAAAAAGAAAAAAAGAGGCAGAGAGAUGGCGCGACCCUAGCGUAGGGACACAGAAGGGUCCGGGAAGGGAGACCCAAAGAAAGUCAGGGACCCAGAGGCAGAGAAGGGGCCAAAAUAAACAAGGGAGAUACAGAGAAAGACGGACAGAGAGAGGCAGAAAUAAAGGCGAACGAAAAGAAUGGGGAAACGAGGGGAAAGAGAAGUUAAAGAAGAAAGGAGGGCGGGGGGGGGGAGAUUAAGAAGAUGGGGACAAAAGAAUAAAAUAAAAGAAACUCAAAAGAGCAAACGCUUUUAUCUACAAAAACUCCCCUGCGAGAGGCUCGGCAGUGAGAACGCGCCCCGCGGCGGCCAGGAAUUUCGCGCCAGGGCCGCAGACCCCAGAGGCCCCGGUGGGCAGCGCAGCCUUCGCACUCGGGGCUCUAGACUGGGUCGCGUGCAGAAUCGGACUCCAAGUUGAAGUUCCAGGGCUCUGGGCACGCAGGAGCAUCUGCUCCCGGAAGGCAUGGUGUUUGUGUGUGGGGACGUCACCCCAGAUCCGUGGCGGAGGAGGGGAUGGGGAGAUGAAAAGGCACAAGGCUCUCUUGGGCGCGCGUGGGGCGCCUAGGACUUCCUGCCCUGGUGCGAAAGGAGACGGGGACGCGGGGCGGGCUGGCUUCGGUCGCUUAGCUCAGACCCCUGGGCGUCCCCGCAGCUAGGACCCCCGGGGCCCGUUCUUGGGCAGAGCCUCGGAGAACUCGCCACCCCCGCCCCCUCUCGCAGAGCCCUCGCUCCCAGGCCCGCGCACCCUGCUCUGCUUGGAGAAAAAAAGUAACGUGGCGAGAACCGCGCCCCGGCGCCAGUGGAGGGCGCAUUUCCCGAACCGCCUCCCCGCGGCGACCGAAAGGCGCCGCGCAGAUUCCUCUCGCUCUGGGGGCCAGGCCCCGCACUGAUCCUCCCGGGGCAGAGAGUGGGGAGGGGGAGAGGAAAGAAGAGGAGAAGAAGUGGGGAAGGGUGGGGAGAGGUGCAGAAGAGAAGCAGCGAGGGAUGAAAAGUGGAAAUGUGGACCGGAGGGAAAGGAAGGAGCAAGGAGGUUAGGGGGCGUCUCCCCUCCGGUCUGACGAGGUCACUGCACGGACAAAAGGCGCUCCCUCCCCGGUCUCACUCAUUGCGAGUGAGACCUGUGCUAUGGCUCCCCCGGGACAUCGGGCUAGAGACUGAGACCCCGACAGGGCCGCUGGUGGCCUCUGUGCCUGUGGGACCCAGGGUGAGGCGAGGAAGGCUUCGCCCCUGGAGUGACUAGCGCCCGGAAAUUUUCCAACCCCUGGGAUUUCCGGGUAGAUGGGGUCCAGUCCAGUCCACUCCUCCUCCCCGCUCCUGCCCCUUUCUCCUGCCUUCUCUGGCAGGUCCGGUGCAGCUAUAGAGCUGGACUAGAGAGGAGUUGGAUGAAAAGACCUUCAGGAAGAAGAUUGACAGUUUAGUCCAUUCCUACUUUUGUGUGGAGACAGGACAAAACCUAGAUCAGAAUCCUUUGGGCUAGGGAAGUCGGGAGGCAGUGACCAAGCAAAACCAGCUCAGAGGGCAUCAGUCAGUUGGUCAGUCCACUUUGGUCUGCUCAGUGAUGGACGCCAGGACUACAGAGGUAAAUUGGACACAGCCCCCAUUUUCAAGGAGGACAUUAUCUGGUGGCAAAGAGAGAGCUUUGCCAAGAAACUCCAGAAAGUGUCGAGAUGAGGGGCAGAAGGGUGACUAAGACACAGAGGAUGUCAGAGAAUGCCUCAUAAAGGGGAUGGGGUCUUGCAAGAUGAUUAGGUGUCUACUAGAUGUAGGUCAUAGCUGGUUGGAAUAUUCCCAAGCAGAAAGGGAUCGGGGCAAAGGCACGGAGAGAAGGCAAAAACCCACCUAGCUGGGGCCUGGCGAAGGGUUCUGGGAGGCCAAUACUGGGGUCAAAGGUAAGGCUAGGGAAAUAAGACUGGGAGGUAGAGGGGGUCUAGAUCAAGGAACACUUUUGCUAAGGAGUUUUUUUUUUCUUUCUCUCCUUUAGGCCAUGGGAUGCCAUUGAAGGAUUUUAAGCAGGGAAGGAAAAAGAUCUGAUUUGGGAGGAAAGACCACUGUGCAGGUGUGGGUGGGAGGUAGACAGGGAGCGGCAGAGACUGGACAAAUAGUCUUCUCAGCAAAAGAAGAUGGAAGGCCUCAAAACAAAAUAGUCUGAGGGAGACAGAGAAGAGAGGUGAGAAAUGGAAGCAGAGUGGUGAGUACUUGGGCACAGAUUGUGUGUGUGUGUGUGUGUGUGUGUGUGUGUGUGUGUGUGUUGUGGGGUGAGAUGAUAAAUUAAGAUCUGUCUAAGUCUCUGGAUAACUUCAGUCUCAACUCUGACCCCUCCCCUCACUCACCAUCCCCUUCCUCUCAUAAAGCCUCCCCCCCCCGUAAUUGUUACAGAAGCCAAAAUCCAGGCAUCUUGUCUGGAGGCAACACUUGUCUCCUCAUCUCAUGACCUUACCAGGCAGCCUCAUAGAACAAGGUGCCCUAAAGAAGAAGGUAACUUCUCACUAACCCCAAGACAGAGAGGGUGGCAUCCAAGAGUGAAAAAUGGGGCCAGGCAGUCCUGAGGUUGAUCUCCUCUUUCUCAGUUCUAAAACAGGCCAGUUAUGUGACCUUGAACUCAUUGUGCCUAUGUGUCCACAUCUGUAAAAGGGGAGUGAGGGUAUUUGCCUUGUGGAAUUGUUGGGUGGUAUUAAAUAAGGGGUGUAUAUUAAGCCCUAACAAUAAUGUCUGACCACAUUAGGUCAUUCCCCAUGCCCAUCCCAGACCUAGACCUCUGCAGGCACUGACUGAGCAUUUUCUCCUGCGCAGGCAUGAAGUGUCAGGGGGUACAAAGAGCAGUGAGAUAGAGACACUCCGGAGAAGAUGUCAAUCCAGAGGGAAGGCCAGGUGCCCCACUAGAGCAAAGUUAAUAAUGACAGUAAAAACAACUAACAUGCCUGAAGGCUUACGGUAUGUCAGGCAUCAUUUUAAAUGCUUUACACAUAUUAAUUCCAUUCAUCCACAUCCAUUAUUAUGAACCCCACUUUAACGAUGUGGAAACGGAG